rnacentral:rRNA from 1 species
AGCGAACGCUGGCGGCAGGCCUAACACAUGCAAGUCGAACGGAUCCUUCGGGAUUAGUGGCGGACGGGUGAGUAACACGUGGGAACGUGCCCUUUGGUUCGGAACAACUCAGGGAAACUUGAGCUAAUACCGGAUGUGCCCUUCGGGGGAAAGAUUUAUCGCCAUUGGAGCGGCCCGCGUCUGAUUAGCUAGUUGGUGAGGUAAAGGCUCACCAAGGCGACGAUCAGUAGCUGGUCUGAGAGGAUGAUCAGCCACAUUGGGACUGAGACACGGCCCAAACGCCUACGGGAGGCAGCAGUGGGGAAUCUUGCGCAAUGGGCGAAAGCCUGACGCAGCCACGCCGCGUGAAUGAUGAAGGUCUUAGGAUUGUAAAAUUCUUUCACCGGGGACGAUAAUGACGGUACCCGGAGAAGAAGCCCCGGCUAACUUCGUGCCAGCCGCCGCAGUAAAAC